rnacentral:rRNA from 1 species
UACGUAGGGUGCAAGCGUUAAUCGGAAUUACUGGGCGUAAAGCGUGCGCAGGCGGUUUUGUAAGACAGAGGUGAAAUCCCCGGGCUCAACCUGGGAACUGCCUUUGUGACUGCAAGGCUGGAGUGCGGCAGAGGGGGAUGGAAUUCCGCGUGUAGCAGUGAAAUGCGUAGAUAUGCGGAGGAACACCGAUGGCGAAGGCAAUCCCCUGGGCCUGCACUGACGCUCAUGCACGAAAGCGUGGGGAGCAAACAGGAUUAGAUACCCUGGUAGUCCACGCCCUAAACGAUGUCAACUGGUUGUUGGGUCUUGACUGACUCAGUAACGAAGCUAACGCGUGAAGUUGACCGCCUGGGGAGUACGGCCGCAAGGUUG